rnacentral:sRNA from 21 species
GUCAAUAGCCCACCGCUAAAGCGGUGAGCUUGCCCCUGCGGUAAGCUUUGAUUGACCAGACUGAGUUCCCAUGAGGAACUACGUUAUCCCGACUAUGAUACCCUCGGAUGCUUCCUUAGUCCGUUGCUCUAUC